rnacentral:rRNA from 1 species
AUACGGAGGGUGCGAGCGUUAAUCGGAAUUACUGGGCGUUAAGCGUACGUAGGCGGUUGGUUAAGUUAGAUGUGAAAGCCCCGGGCUUAACCUGGGAACUGCAUUUAAAACUGACGAACUAGAGUUGAGUAGAGGGGAGUGGAAUUUCAGGUGUAGCGGUGAAAUGCGUAGAGAUCUGAAGGAACACCAGUGGCGAAGGCGACUCCCUGGACUCGAACUGACGCUGAGGUACGAAAGCGUGGGUAGCAAACGGGAUUAGAAACCCCAGUAGUCC